rnacentral:rRNA from 1 species
AUACAGAGGGUGCAAGCGUUAAUCGGAAUUACUGGGCGUAAAGCGUGCGCAGGCGGUUUUGUAAGACAGAGGGGAAAUCCCCGGGCUCAAACUGGGAACUGCCUUUGUGACUGCAAGGCUAGAGGACGGCAGAGGGGGAUGGAAUUCCUGGUGGAGCAGUGAAAUGCGUAGAUAUGCGGAGGAACACCGAUGGCGAAGGCAAUCCCCUGGGCCUGUACUGACGCUCAUGCACGAAAGCGUGGGGAGCAAACAGGAUUAGAUACCCUGGUAGUCCACGCCCUAAACGAUGUCAACUGGUUGUUGGGUCUUCAUUGACUCAGUAACGAAGCUAACGCGUGAAGUUGACCGCCUGGGGAGUACGGCCGCAAGGUUGAAACUCAAAUGAAUUGGCGGGG